AACCGACAAGUACACGCCCCUUCGCACUCCACUAGCUAGUAAGCUGAGCUACAAGGUGUGCCAGGCACCCAGGACGCCGAUUCACCGCUUCAGUGAAGGCCCAGCUCAAAUGCCACCUCUUCCAUGAAGACUUCCGUGAUCCACAAUGAUAGCAUCUCCAGCAAUUGCUUCUAUAAUGAAUAGCAUGAGUCAUUCUGCAGGAUGUUGAUCUUCCUUUUUUUACUCCUAGACUGAAUUUUUCCACCACCUGGAUGAACAUAGCAGAAAGAACAUAGUGUUUUAGAGUCAGACACAAUAGGAAUCAGGCACUUUGGAAUCUUGGCUCUACCACCUUUGAGCUAUGUAUCCCAAGUCAAACACCCAUCAGACCUUUGCCAGGUGUCCAGCCUGGGCACUACGUUUCAGAAAAUGAUGCACAUAGAAUCCCUAACUGAAAGGAGAUCGCAGCUCAUUUGGUACAAAGUGGCUGAUUCUUUGACUGGUGAGCCACUCCCCAGGCAGGCAUAGCAUCACAGAGUUUCUGAGAAGGUACACCCUGGAUGCAAAGCAGUGUUGCUGAAAGACUCC
rnacentral:lncRNA from 10 species